GUCGUAUAAUUCUUGACUGCCACUGGUUCCGAAGACAUUCUAUUUUUGCAUUGUGCAUUUGUACUUUGUCUUAGUUUCGCUUCAACUUCUGGAGUCACGUUAUAUAUACCAACUGUGAUACAGAAAAUCUGAAAACGGCAAAAAUUCUUAAUAGCUUUACGAAACGGAAAUUAUAUAAACAAGGCCGCCGGACAACUAAGUCCACUGUGCCUCCCCCCCUGGAAGCCAGAUUGCCUGCGUGCCCCCGGCUCUUACCGGGUAGAGCUCAUAGGAGUUACGCCACUGCAAAACGACGAAUAUAAUUUACUAUCGCAAGCGAGUAUAAUUACAUCAUUUUCUAAUUUACUUUAAAGGUUAAGAACUGUCAGAAAAGACAGC